rnacentral:lncRNA from 1 species
CAAAUCAUCACACUAGAUCAGCAUCACAAAUCCGCAAAUUAUUCAUAAAUUAUUUGGAAAAUACUUGAUUUUUAAGAAUGUGAAAUAAAAUAAGUGCCCAAUAAAAAUCAAACAAAAAAUAUCCCCCAACCUACCAACCAAUACAAACAAAGCAAAUGGCCAAAACCUCAAAAAACAAACAUUUUCCUCUUACCCAUAACAUCAUGUGAACUCUUUUGUGCAUAAGUAAAGGCAGUUUAUAAUUCAGAAGUUUUUCUCAUAUAAGCCGUCAUAUUUUAUUAGUGACCUGCCGCAAAUGCAAGGAGAGAGAAACCUGCUGCAGCGCCAGUGGUGGAUGUGUCCUGCUGAGUCUGAUUGAUGGCGACAUAAAGAGUUUUUGAAGUUUUAUGCUCUGGCUGUACAGGAGAUGGACACGAAGUCCUCCGCAUGUGAAGCAUGGCCCAAGCGUUUAGGUGGUCAAUUGCCUGCUGAAUCCAAAGGCCGYCACUAAGACAGAGUCAAGUUUUUCGCGCUGUGAUGUAUUUCCAUAUGACCUUGCAACUAAAUUGAUUUUUGAUCCGAGUGGAGUYGUUUGCUGCUGAGGAGACAGAACGGGACCCGAAGGGGGCAAACACUGAAUCUUUUUGGCUUGACUUUCAGUCAAGGUACAGUAACUGAGAACUGUCCAGAUGAUUUGUCUAAGCUGGAAGAGAGAGGUCUGGACUCUCAUGUCUGCCUAUACCCAUACGAGAAACUUCGUAAUCCUGAGCACUCCACAGGUUCCAUGGGUUGUUUUCCGGUGUAUCCUGUCUGAGAAAUGACUCAAUGCAAAUAAAACAUUCAACUUUUGCA